rnacentral:rRNA from 1 species
AAGUUUUCGGAUGGAUUUAAAACAGCUUAGUGGCGGACGGGUGAGUAACGCGUGGGUAACCUGCCUCACACUGGGGGAUAACAGUUAGAAAUAGCUGCUAAUACCGCAUAAGCGCACGGUUCCGCAUGACACAGUGUGAAAACACUCUGGUGGUAUGAGAUGGACCCGCGUCUGAUUAGCUAGUUGGUGAGGUAACGGCCCACCAAGGCGACGAUCAGUAGCCGGCCUGAGAGGGUGAACGGCCACAUUGGAACUGAGACACGGUCCAAACUCC